AGAAAAACGUGGUAUAUGGAGGUAAUCAACGUUCUGUUUACUGUAUUAUAUCACUGUACUAAUUACCAAGUGGCGCUGGAUGGCUAAUUAUAACGAUUUAGCCAUAAUAUCGUAUACACGGAGAGAAAGAGAAUUUAUUUAGCUGUGUGUGGAGGGAAGGAGGAGGAGGAGGAGAGGGAGAGAAAGGAGGGAGAGAGGAGAGAAGAGAGGGAGGUGGAGGCGGAGGGACAAAAAAUCUUCCACUGUGCAAAAAACAUUUAUUUAUUUAUUUAUUUUCAUAUUUUUUUAACUUUCUCAAAAAAAUCAAAAAAUAAAGAAAAAAAUACAAAUAGGCUUAACAAUUACUCUCUCUCUCUCUCUCUCUCUCUCUCUCUCUCUCUCUCUCUCUCUCUCUCUCUCUCUCUCUCUCUCUCUCUCUCAAUAUAUAUAUAAA